rnacentral:rRNA from 1 species
CUAACAAGGAUUCCCCUAGUAACGGCGAGUGAAGCGGGAAGAGCUCAACUUUGUAAUCUGGUUGCUUUGCAAUCCGAGUUGUAGUCUAAAGAAGCGUGAUCCGCGCCGGACCUUGGACAUGUCUGUUGGAAAGCAGUGUCAAAGAGGGUGAUAAUCCCGUACAUACCAAGGACGACCGUGUGCAUUGUGAUCUGCUCUCUAAGAGUCGAGUUGUUUGGGAAUGCAGCUCUAAUCGGGUGGUAAAUUCCAUCUAAGGCUAAAUAUGGACGAGAGACCGAUAGCGAACAAGUACAGUAAUGGAAAGAUGAAAAGUAGCCUGCAGAGGCAAUGAAACAAUACGUGAAACCGUUUGUAGGGAAACGAUGGAACCUUUUCACGCUGCAGGGGCUCAGCCUGACUUCGGUCUGGUGUAUUCCCCUGUUUUGCGGAUCAGCAUCGGUUUGCAAUGUGGUAUAAGGGUGUUUGGAACGUGGCUCCAAUUCGUUGGAGUGUUAUAGCCUUUCACUGGAUGCUAUGUCGCAGACCGAGGACUGCAGUGCGCCGCAGGGCAUUACCCCCGGGUAACGAGCACUUAGGAUGCUGGUUGAAUGGGUUUCAACGACCCGUCUUGAAACACGGACCAAGGAGUCUAACAUGCCUGCGAGUGUUUGAGUGUCAAACUCGAGCGCGUAAUGAAAGUGAAUGAAGGUGGGAUCUGUCAAAGGUGCACCAUCGACCGGUCUUGAAGUUUACGGAUGGAUCUGAGUAAGAGCAUGUAUGUUGGGACCCGAAAGAUGGUGAACUAUGCCUGAAUAGGGUGAAGUCAGGUGAAAACCUGAUGGAGGCUCGUAGCGGUUCUGACGUGCAAAUCGAUCGUCAAAUUUGGGUAUAGGGGCGAAAGACUAAUCGAACCAUUAGGACCUACUA